AUAUUUUUCUGUCUACCAAAGACAUAAUGGCUGCUCCUUUUAUGGGAAACCAGGAUUUAAUCCAAUCUGCAAUGAUGUAACUAAAAAGCAGAAUCUGGCCAACCCUCAGCUUACAGAAUAGGUAAAAACCACUAGGAGCAAUGUGAAUUUUUCAGAGGAGCUCUGUUAUCCGCCAAAAACAUCCUAUGGAUAUUUCAAGGCCCACAUAGGAUCUCCCAAGACUGUUUAUCCCUAUCACACC